GGCCUGUUGCGCAACGGAUAACGCGCAUGACUAUGGAUCAGGAGUUUCCAGGUUCGAAUCCUGGCUGGAUCG
rnacentral:tRNA from 1 species